AUUUAUGGCGGCUGUGUGCGGGAGACCUUCGGGUCUACCGAGACUUGCUGGUGAUUCUCGGUCUUGCAGGCCCGCACACAGCUGCCACCCAU
rnacentral:antisense_RNA from 3 species